AGUGAACGCUGGCGGUAGGCCUAACACAUGCAAGUCGAACGGCAGCACAGUAAGAGCUUGCUCUUACGGGUGGCGAGUGGCGGACGGGUGAGGAAUACAUCGGCAUCUACUUUUUCGUGGGGGAUAACGUAGGGAAACUUACGCUAAUACCGCAUACGACCUACGGGUGAAAGCAGGGGAUCUUCGGACCUUGCGCGAUUGAAUGAGACGAUGUCGGAUUAGCUAGUUGGCGGGGUAAAGGCCCACCAAGGCGACGAUCCGUAGCUGGUCUGAGAGGAUGAUCGGCCACACUGGAACUGAGACACGGUCCAGACUCCUACGGGAGGCAGCAGUGGGGAAUAUUGGACAAUGGGCGCAAGCCUGAUCCAGCCAUACCGCGUGGGUGAAGAAGGCCUUCGGGUUGUAAAGCCCUUUUGUUGGGAAAGAAAAGCAGCAGGUUAAUACCCCGCUGUUCUGACGGUACCCAAAGAAUAAGCACCGGCUAACUUCGUG
rnacentral:rRNA from 1 species